AAAAUAUGUGGUGUGUGGCUUGGCAGACACCUCCCUACAGUUUCUCUCUCUGCCUGGAGGAAGCUUCGGUCUCCUCAAUACUAGAUCCAAGAGGUCAUAAUCAUUUGGAACUCAUACAAAAGCGGCAGAGCCUAUUUCCCAACCCCAGCGAUACAAGGGAAUGUCUUCACAUCUGCACACGCCGAGAUUUGGCAACUCACCUAGAUGGAGCUUCUUUAUCGGGCAUCUCCUUGGAGAUCUGAUGAGAUUUUCUGAUAUCAUUUUAGGACAGACCAUUGUUGAAUGAGAGAGAGAACAUAACAUAGAUAAAAAUGGAAGAAUUGUCAGAGCCACAGAGCAAGAGCUCCCAGAAUCUGGAAAUUAUAGCUAUAAAAGGAAGUCUUCAGGGUCAGAUGACACAUAGUAAGAUGGGAAGGUCAUACGCCCACUUGAGCCAAUCCCUGUGUCCUCUCCCACUGCUGAUGGUAGACAUCCCUGGAUGUUCAUCACCCAAUCUCCUCAGGCUGCACAGGAAAUCAUGACAGAGAAGGAAGGAGAAGAGUCAGGCCACACAUUUUCUGGGGCUGGGCGUAAAUGGUGUUGUCAGUGGGAUUUGGAGCCAGAAGAUAGAACUAAGGUCCCUAUGUCAUCGUUUGGAAUAUAGGCACCCACCAGC